CUCCUCACUUUGGCAGCACAGAUAAUAAAAUUGGAAUGAAACAAAGAAGACAAGCAUGGCCACUGUGCAAGGAUGGCAUGCAAACUUGUAAAGCAUUCUGUAUUAAA
ensembl:snRNA U6 U6 spliceosomal RNA